ANNNNAUAUAUAUAUAUAUAUAUAUUAAUGUAUGAUGCAUAUAAAUUUUUGAAAUUUAAAGAUAUAGUUUAAUUCUAUAAGAUAUAA
rnacentral:tRNA from 1 species